CCUUCUAAUCUUGCCUGCAUUAGUUUUGUUUGUACAAAAACUUUUCAGUUUGAUAUAGUCGAAAUUUUCUAUUUUGUAAUCAGUAAUGAUCUCUAGUUCUUCUUUGGUCAUAAAUUCCUUGGAGAAGGUAAUUUUGGUGGAAUGAUAAGGUUGGCAGCUAUACUGUAAUGGAUUAAGAAGAGAGUGAGAAGAGAGAAAGUAGUGGUAACUAUAAUAAAAAGCCUUUUUGAAGAGUUUGGUUACAAAAGGCAGCAGAGAUAGAGGACAAUGAGAGGGGGAUAGAAGGGUCCAGUAAGAUUUUUUUUUAAUAAUAGGAAAGAGAGAAGUAUGAGCCAGCAGACAGGAAGAGAUGGAAGAGAGAUGAAAUGGGAUCACUAGAACAAGUAGAGGGGUCUUGGUAAGAAAUAAGGUCACUUCAUCCUAUGAGGCGGGUGAAGAACUGGUGACAGAAGGUAUCUGAGUCAUAGAAGAUGGAGAAAAGGGAAGGAGGAGGUAAUGGCCUCAUUUUUUUUAACUGUAAAAUACGAGGCAAGGUUUUCAUCUGAGAAAGUGGGGACAGAAGGAGCCAUGGGAGGAUUGAGUGGGAAUAAAAAAGAUUUCAAAAAGCUACCAUGGAAAAUGAGAUAGUGAGCUGAUUAAAAAAAAAAAAGGCAUAGUAGGAUUGCAUAGCAGCAGUGAGGAUCCAGUUGAGGUGAGGUAACAUAAAUUUGUAGUAGAUCCAUCCAGUCAGAAAGGAUAAGUAAUUUUCUCCAUCUUCAUUCAUCAGCAUGUAUAGGAGUUAAAAUGACGAAUGGUGGGAAUGACCCAGUGCUACAUUCAGGAAUAGACAAAGGAUCUUUUGAGGAAGAUAUCUAGGACCAUCUGAAAAGAGCUGUGACCUAGGAGUUAGGACACCUUUUUUCCUUCUCCCAGCUUUUUUCCUAACUUUUGGUGUGACCUUGGGUAUGAUACUUUUCCCUCUCAAGGUCUCAGUUUUCUUCUCUUUAAAAUGAAGAGGAUGGACUAAAAAAAUCUCUAAGGUCCUUCCCAACUUUGACAGUCUAUGUUCUAGAAUAUCUUCCAGCUUUAAAAUUCUAUUUUUCUUGGUGAAUCACAUCCUUCCUUUCCUUCUAAGAAAUUAGUCCCCAUCACCAAAAGUCUUAAGAUGAUUAAUAUUAGAGGCCAAGCCCUGACUCAUUGUGCUCAGCCCUUCCCGACAUGUCUAGGUGUUAAUAGGAUUGAGGUCACACUGCACAUAACUUUUACCUUUAACUUAGAGAAGCUGAAGCGGUGGCCAUGUCAAGUAAACUUGGCCUGCUUUGUUUCUAGCAAAUGUCAGCCUUACCCUGCCCAUGCUUCAACGCCUCCAUUCAAAAACCACAAAACUGUUUACACAAAAUAGUCUUGGACACAAAUUACUAUCUUCUAGAAGCAACUAUUGAUAUCGUUCCUUUUAUGCAAUAAUAGCUAACAUUUAUAUAGCAUUUUUAAGUUUGUGAAGCUCUUUACAAAUAAUAUUCUCAUUUCUUCCUCACAACAACUCUGGAGGAGGGGGAAGUGCUAUUAUUGUUCCCAUUUUACAGAUAAGAAAACUGAGGCAGAGUUAAGUGACUUGCCCAAGUUUGAUUAGACAGGCAGCAUCUGAGACUAGAUUUGAAUUCAAGUGUCUGUCUAGCAUUCUAUCCACUGCGCCAUCUAGCGGCCUUCAUUUCCCAGUAUAACACCCCAUUCCCCAAUUGAAAAACUGAACCUUAAGACAAAAGAACAAAAAUAACAACAAAAACUAACCAACAAAUCAAACAAGUUGUACAUUAUGUACAAUUUUCCAUGUAGUUAGUUUUUCAUCUCUUCAGAGAAGAGAGAGAGGUUUGUAUUUUCAUCUCUCUUUUUGGAAAUAAGUUUGGUGAUUAUAAUUGUGCUGUUUUGAUUUUUUUUUUAAAUGUUGUUCUUUUCACUUACCUUAUUGCAGUCACCAGUCUCCUAAUUCCAUUUACUUCCCUUUUCAUCAGUUCAUCUCAUAUGCAUCAUUGUGUCCGUUGCAUAAAUUCUACUGCUUCUGAAAACAUUGAUCUGCAUCAGUUCAUAUAAGUUUUCCCAAGUUUCUCUAACUCCUUCAUAUUUAUCAUUCCUUAAGACAAAGUAAUUUUCCAUUACAAUUAUAUACACCAAUUUGUUCAGUCAAUUCUCAGUUAAUGGGCAUCCACUUUGUUUCUAGUUCUUUGCUCUCAUAAAAAGUGCUGCUACAAAUAUUUUUGUAUAUUUGAGGUUUUAUCUUCUGUCUUUGAUCUCCUUGGGGUAUAUAAAUAAUAGUGGUAUCACUUGGUAUCUUCAGUUUAAUGAUGAUUCUAAUAUAAAGCCCAAUUGUUUUCCAGAACCAUUGGGCAAAUUCACAGUUUCACUAAUGGUGUAUUAAUCUGCCUAUUUUCCACUACAGCUCUUUCAACAUGUUUCAUUUUUGUAUUUUGUUAUCUUUGUUAAUCUGAUGGAGAUGAAAUUUUUUUUUCAUUUUCAUCUCUUUUACUCUGAUUUAAAGCAUUUUCACAUGGUGGCUGAUAUUUCUUCUUGUGAAAAUUGUCCAACAAAAUUUCUGAAUACACUUAAUCAUGAUAAAGAUGAACACAGUGGGUAGAGAAUUCCUUUGGUAUGUGUGUAUAUGGGGAAGAGUGGUGCUACAUUCACACAUCCAUCAGUAAUUCUUUUUUUUUUUUUUUAAUUUAAUAGCCUUUUAUUUACAGGAUAUAUACAUGGGUAACUUUACAGCAUUAACAAUUGCCAAACCUCUUGUUCCAAUUUUUCACCUCUUACCCCCCCC
ensembl:lncRNA